CCGCCCCGGAGCGGCGCUGGCUCUGAGUAGGACAGAAAGCAGGCAGGAUGAACCCCAGGUGCCCAUCGGGGUUCUCCUUGCGUGUUUGUCCCUGAAAGGCGGAAGCCGAUGGGAUCCCGGGAGGAUUUCAGUGAGUCGCAUGGCCUUCGGGCUCCAGAUGGCGGAGUGACCAUGAAUCACGCGGGAUGCACAGAGCUUUCUAGGUCUUCCAGGCCCGGCGAGGGACGCCUUCCUUGUUAGGAAGUGGGAGGCAAGCAGAAGAGGGCUUCUGUUUCAAGCUUCUUAAAGCCCCCCUGCUCUGGUCCUACUUUACAGCAUCAGAGCUGACCUGGGGGAAGAGGGGACAGAAGAAACAGGGUGUCAUGUGCCUGCAGGCAAAUAUGCUUCCAGCCGCUCCAUUUUCCUGAUUCGCUCAUCCUUGGAAAAUCAUGUACCGAGAGCUUUCCUGCCCUGAGCACCUUCCCUGCCAAGGUCUCCCUCAUCCUUCCUGGACCAGUAUCAACACUCCUCUCCCUCUCUGGGGAUUUCUGCAAGAGCGGGCUUCUAAUCCCUCUUGGCAUUAGGACUCCGUCUCUUGCUGUGGGCCCUGCACCAGUGAACACACUCAGCCCAAGUGACCCUGGGACAGACCUCAGCAUAAACACGGUCCCACAUGAAUCAAGCUUCUGGGACUGGAGAGAUUCCACAUGUAAACAGGAAGAGGAGGAGAUACUUACGAAAGCAAGAAAUGGCUUGACAGAUAGGUGUGCGGGUUUUUAGAACAUAAAGGCCAUUGAGAACUGAGGAUGGCUGGUAAAAAUGGCAGCUUCUGGGAACCCUUGGAAUUGGUCUCUUCUCUGAAGAAUCUUAAGGAUCUGAGGGGAAGCAGCAGUUGAGAUGAUGUCAGAGGUGCACCUGAGUUUCUUCUGUCUUGAAAUAUGUUUUGAAGAUAAGAACGUGGAUCCUAAUAAACAAAA